AUUGAACGCUGGCGGCAUGCCUUACACAUGCAAGUCGAACGGUAACAGGUCUUCGGAUGCUGACGAGUGGCGAACGGGUGAGUAAUACAUCGGAACGUGCCUAGUAGUGGGGGAUAACUACUCGAAAGAGUGGCUAAUACCGCAUGAGAUCUACGGAUGAAAGCAGGGGAUCGCAAGACCUUGUGCUACUAGAGCGGCCGAUGGCAGAUUAGGUAGUUGGUGGGAUAAAAGCUUACCAAGCCGACGAUCUGUAGCUGGUCUGAGAGGACGAUCAGCCACACUGGGACUGAGACACGGCCCAGACUACUACGGGAGGCAGCAGUGGGGAAUUUUGGACAAUGGGCGCAAGCCUGAUCCAGCAAUGCCGCGUGCAGGAUGAAGGCCUUCGGGUUGUAAACUGCUUUUGUACGGAACGAAAAGCCCCGGGUUAAUACCCUGGGGUCGUGACGGUACCGUAAGAAUAAGCACCGGCUAACUACGUGCCAGCAGCCGCGGUAA
rnacentral:rRNA from 1 species